GAAUGGUCUAAGAUUCCUUUGCACUAUGGCUCCCCCUUCUGGUUCUGCAAUGAGUAGUUACAUUGUUCCUCAGAGUGCUGAAUUUUGAGAGCAAAGCAUUACAGAAAUGUAAAAAAAUCUUGAAGGCCAGAAAACAAGCUCAUAUUACCAAGUGUGAAAUUACAGCAAGUCUUACAGGCUGGGAACUGGAAAAGAGCUUCCCCAUCAUGGUGGAUUAUACAACCAGUGGUGGAGAGUAACUCCAAAAUAUAGCAUCUUUCUACUCAUCUUACUAAAGCUCAAAGAAGGUGAUCUACAAGGUACAUGCAAAGAUAAUGAAAACAAGGCUCAAAAUAAAAACAAGAAAUCUUUAUGAAAUUACACAAAGUGUAUGUGUUUGAACUUGGAUUUGCUUCCAACUCUGCUUGACUCUGAAAACCAUGCCCUUUCCUCUACAUGAUAUGUUCAUAUGCUCUACCCCACUUAUGGGUGGAAACUCCUCCGUCAAGCUUAUUUAAUCAAUGAAUGAAUGACUCUUCUAAAGGCAGAUACCAGCAGGUUUGGUGGUAGAGCCAGUCCUGCAAAUGUGCUCAAUGUCUUAAGCCACCUGACAGCCAGACUCCAUAUGAAAAGAUUUAACUUCUUAUUAAAAUACCUAUAAUAGUCCAGGUGCAGUGGCUCACACCUGUAAUCCCAGCACUUCGGGAGG
rnacentral:lncRNA from 1 species